rnacentral:rRNA from 1 species
GACGAACGCUGGCGGCGUGCCUAAUACAUGCAAGUCGAACGCAGUGGGGACGGGGGAGUAACACGUGGGUAACCUCCCAUCAGAGGGGAUAACACUUGGAAACAGGUGCUAAACCGAUACUGAUGGAUGGACCCGCUGUGCAUUGGCUAGUUGGUGAGGUAACGGCUCACCAAGGCCACGAAGCAUAGGCGGCCUGAGAGGGUGAUCGGCUACACUGGGACUGAGACCCGGCCCAGACGCCUACGGGAGGCAGCAGUAGGGAAUUGUCGGCAAUGGACGAAAGCCUGACCGAGCAAUGCCGCGUGAGUGAGUAAGGUUUUCGGAUCGUAAAACUGUGUUGUUAGAUAAGCGGUAUCUAACCAGAAAGCCACGGCUAACUACGUGCCAGCAGCCGCGGUAAUUC